rnacentral:lncRNA from 1 species
GCAUGCAGAGGGCUGUGAGCUGGGUGGUGUGGUGUCUUUGAUCUAGGUAUUUUAGGUGAAAGGAGCCAAAUGAGAAGAAAAGGAAGGAACCUAUUCCUCUAGGCUAGAGCGAAGUAUUUAUAAGUGUAAGUGAACUUCUCUUAAUUUGGGAUUUUAAUAUGUCCCAUCAUGAUCGAAUUUAGGUGAGCGACAAUGGAUAGAGAUAGAUAACGUGAGAUCCAUGUGCAUGUGAAUCUUGCAAGAAAAGGUCUAACACUUGUGACUGACGAGGUAAGCUAAAAAAGUUCAUUUGUGUCCAGUAUAUGUGCUUCAUUUUCAUUAUAUCAUCUAUACUCAGGAUUGAUGACUAGUUUUUUUUUUUUUUAUUAAUGUGGUUUCUAGUGAUGGAUCCUAUGUUCUAUGCUUUAAUUUGAUUUAGAAGUUGGAUUCAACUCUGAUUUAAAUUUGGUUAACUAAGUUGAAUAUAAUUAGCAUGAAAAAAAUGUAAAUCAGCAUACUAAAGUACAAAACUGUGUUUCUAAAAUUUCUAUUGUAAACCAUUGAUAAGAAGAACAAUGCCAAUUGCCAACUAUAAUACAAAUGUUAGUCGAUCUCUUAAGGAAUUGUAGGACCGAAGCUC